CGGGACGUGGCGCAGCCUGGUAGCGCACUUGCUUGGGGUGCAAGGGGUCGCCAGUUCAAAUCUGGCCGUCCCGACCA
rnacentral:tRNA from 3 species